rnacentral:rRNA from 1 species
CCUACGGGUGGCAGCAGUGGGGAAUAUUGGACAAUGGGCGCAAGCCUGAUCCAGCCAUGCCGCGUGAGUGAUGAAGGCCCUAGGGUUGUAAAGCUCUUUCACCGGAGAAGCGGUAUCCGGAGAAGAAGCCCCGGCUAACUUCGUGCCAGCAGCCGCGGUAAUACGAAGGGGGCUAGCGUUGUUCGGAUUUACUGGGCGUAAAGCGCACGUAGGCGGAUCGAUCAGUCAGGGGUGAAAUCCCAGGGCUCAACCCUGGAACUGCCUUUGAUACUGUCGAUCUGGAGUAUGGAAGAGGUAAGUGGAAUUCCGAGUGUAGAGGUGAAAUGCGUAGAUAUUCGGAGGAACACCAGUGGCGAAGGCGGCUUACUGGUCCAUACUGACGCUGAGGUGCGAAAGCGUGGGGAGCAAACAGGAUUAGAUACCCUUGUAGUC